rnacentral:rRNA from 1 species
GACGAACGCUGGCGGCGCGCCUAACACAUGCAAGUCGAACGGAGCUUAGAGAGCUUGUUUUUUAAGCUUAGUGGCGAACGGGUGAGUAACGCGUGAGUAACCUGCCCUAGAGUGGGGGACAACAGUUGGAAACGACUGCUAAUACCGCAUAAGCCCACGGUGCCGCAUGGUACUGAGGGAAAAGGAUUUAUUCGCUUUAGGAUGGACUCGCGUCCAAUUAGCUAGUUGGUGAGGUAACGGCCCACCAAGGCGACGAUUGGUAGCCGGACUGAGAGGUUGAACGGCCACAUUGGGACUGAGACACGGCCCAGACUCCUACGGGAGGCAGCAGUGGGGGAUAUUGCACAAUGGGGGAAACCCUGAUGCAGCGACGCCGCGUGGAGGAAGAAGGUUUUCGGAUUGUAAACUCCUGUCGUUAGGGACG